rnacentral:rRNA from 1 species
UACGUAGGGAGCAAGCGUUGUCCGGAAUUACUGGGCGUAAAGAGUGCGUAGGCGGCACGAUAAGUCAGAUGUGAAAUACCAAGGCUCAACCUUGGAACUGCAUUUGAAACUGUCGAGCUGGAGUAUAGGAGAGGAAAGUAGAAUUCCUGGUGUAGCGGUAAAAUGCGUAGAUAUCAGGAGGAAUACCGGUGGCGAAGGCGGCCCCCUGGACAAAGACUGACGCUCAGGUGCGAAAGCGUGGGGAGCAAACAGG